GUGCCUAAUACAUGCAGUCGAACGCGUUGGCCCAAUUGAUUGAUGGUGCUUGCACCUGAUUGAUUUUGGUCGCCAACGAGUGGCGGACGGGUGAGUAACACGUAGGUAACCUGCCCAGAAGCGGGGGACAACAUUUGGAAACAGAUGCUAAUACCGCAUAACAACGUUGUUCGCAUGAACAACGCUUAAAAGAUGGCUUCUCGCUAUCACUUCUGGAUGGACCUGCGGUGCAUUAGCUUGUUGGUGGGGUAAUGGCCUACCAAGGCGAUGAUGCAUAGCCGAGUUGAGAGACUGAUCGGCCACAAUGGGACUGAGACACGGCCCAUACUCCUACGGGAGGCAGCAGUAGGGAAUCUUCCACAAUGGGCGCAAGCCUGAUGGAGCAACACCGCGUGAGUGAAGAAGGGUUUCGGCUCGUAAAGCUCUGUUGUUAAAGAAGAACACGUAUGAGAGUAACUGUUCAUACGUUGACGGUAUUUAACCAGAAAGUCACGGCUAACUACGUGCCAGCAGCCGCGGUAAUACGUAGGUGGCAAGCGUUAUCCGGAUUUAUUGGGCGUAAAGAGAGUGCAGGCGGUUUUCUAAGUCUGAUGUGAAAGCCUUCGGCUUAACCGGAGAAGUGCAUCGGAAACUGGAUAACUUGAGUGCAGAAGAGGGUAGUGGAACUCCAUGUGUAGCGGUGGAAUGCGUAGAUAUAUGGAAGAACACCAGUGGCGAAGGCGGCUACCUGGUCUGCAACUGACGCUGAGACUCGAAAGCAUGGGUAGCGAACAGGAUUAGAUACCCUGGUAGUCCAUGCCGUAAACGAUGAGUGCUAGGUGUUGGAGGGUUUCCGCCCUUCAGUGCCGGAGCUAACGCAUUAAGCACUCCGCCUGGGGAGUACGACCGCAAGGUUGAAACUCAAAGGAAUUGACGGGGGCCCGCACAGCGGUG
rnacentral:rRNA from 2 species